GUCCGCGCGUAUAGAUUGCAAAAUGCCUGUCUGGAUCUCUUCUGCAAAUCCGUUUGGGACGUCUGUAAGGCGGGACUGCAGCAAGGGAAGGCGACGGUCACUGCCGUGGGAGAAACGCAGGGACAGAGGGCCGACCAGAGCCGGGCUGCAGCCGCCCGCCGAGGUUCUGGUGGAGGUGCAGGGACGCGGGUCUCCCAGGGUCCCUCGCAAGCCCCGCGGAGGGAGCGAGCUCAGCUCAGCCCUCGGCGGGCUCCCGGCCAUGGCGCACGCCCUCGGGUCCUAGCUGGGCGCGGCCGCAGGGGGAGACGCGCGGGGAGCCGCCGCCAGCCUGGUCUCUCCCAGGCGCGCAGCCGGUCCUCCGCGUAGGUGCGCGCAGGCGUGCGUCCGGCACCGCGGGGCCGCCGGGGAGCCCCUAGGUCGGUGGGGGGAGGUGAGAGAGGGGGACCGCCGGUAGGUUCGCUCAGGGUGUGUUUAUCCAUCCACUGCCUCGAAAACUACUGAGUGUCUCCGGAGCAGAGGACCCACGGGGCCGAAGAGGGUCCCCGAGUGCAGACCGGAACCCCCAGGCCCACCAAGGGCACAGGGGAACUGACCCUUCUGUCCUGGUUUCUCUGGCGGGAAGCUGUGAUCCCAGGCUGGGUGGGUCUGGGUUCAAGUGCAGCCUGCGGGCACAGGGAUUGUUUUAAAGGGUUGCUAGAUUGGUGGCAUGGAUGGGUGGUGGCAAAACCGAAAGGACAGUCCUCUCUGAAGAGACACACCUUCCCCUUGAUCUUGGCCGCUGAAGGAUGGGAUCACAUUCACAGGAGCCCACACAAGUACAGCAGAUUGAGUGGGAGUCAUAGAGCCCAUGCAUGGCAGAAUCGUCCCUCUGGUCCCUCCAAAAUGUGAAUAGGCAGUGUAGAAUCCAGUGGAGUUUUAAGUAAAAAAUACAUGCUCACUAUAUUUAAAGAAAAACAUGAAAACACCAGCAAGGUAUAGAACUCAAGAUUGGGGAGAUUCAAAAUAAAUCAUCUUUAGAAAUCAACAGUCAGUGUGUGGGCUCAGCAGUGGAUUAGACACGGCUGAAGAGAGAAUUAAUGAAAUGAAAGAUGGGAACGAAGGCAGGCCCACUCUCUGGGCCCAGGCACUUGCGUCCCUAGACCUCAGGCCAUCAGGGUGAAAGACCCACCAUCCUUCCUUUUCCCACGGGAGGCGCACAGCCUCGCUUGACUGCCUGCGUGGAGUCUGUCAGGACAAUCUCAUUUUAUCUGGUCUGUGUGUGAGUCCUCAGCAGGAGAGCACAGACACAGGCCACCCUUCAUCUGCUCUGCUCAAAUCACCCUCAGAGCCCUGGGAUCUCCCUGCUCCCUCCUCCUCUCCCAGCUUCUCCAACUUCUACAGCCUUCUCCGAGGGGAGGGUCACGGAGCACAGAAUCCAAGACCUCACAUGUUUAAUUGGAGUUCCAGAAGGAGGGGCACUCUGUUUAAAGAACAGCUAGCUGGCUGAGUGUUGGUGGGGCCUUCACCUACAGUAAGCCUCAGGUAGAAUAAAUAAUUAGGACACUCACAGAAGAGAUCAACCAGGUCUGCAAGCACAGUUAUCUGCACGCCACGGUCUUGCGUUCCUUGCCUUGCAAACAUUUUCUCUCUUUCAGAACUCAGUGUGAAUGCUGCCUCAGUGAUACUCAGAAAAUCCAAGGGGAGGAAUUAAGCACUAAGAAGCAAGGUUUUGUUGGGUAGGAUUGAGCUUUGGAGAGCCCCAAACUAAUAUCUAAUUUUUUGCCCAUCCUGAAGCAAUCCUUUUUUGCCCCCUGGGGAUCCAUAUCUCCCCUUUGAGAGCACAUGAUGUACAGUGCAGGCCUUCACACCUGUGCCCACUAGAGAAGCAGGGGCUACAGAUCAAGGAGAGAAGCCCUUGGUUAGAGCCUUGUUCUUGUAAAUUGUUAUUUAAACAAAGCACCCUUUGCUAGCUGUUUCCUAGUGCUUAAGUCCAUGGGUGACACAGCCCUCAGCAAUGACAUUCCCACAGCUUCUUGUCAAAACAUGCCAGUUAUCAGGGAAGAAAAGCAAGUGAUCGUGCCAUUGGUACAUACUACGGUUUGGAUGGGAGUUGUCUCCUGAAAGCUCACGUGAGACAAUGCAAGAGGGUUUGGAGGGGAAAUGAUUAGGCUUCAGCCUUAACCUAAUGAGUUAAUUCCUGAUGGGUUAACUCGGUGUCAACUGGAGGCCUGUGGGUCCGGCUGGAGGGAGUGGUUUGGUGGGGCGUGCCUGUGGGCUAUGUGUUUUGUGUCUGGAGAGUGGAGUCUCUUUCUGCUUACUGAUCAUGUGAGCUGCUCUGCUUCACCAUUCUUCCGCCAUGAUGUCCCGCCUCACCUCGAGCCCUGAGGAAUGGAGCCCGCUGUCUAUGGAUUGAGACGGUUAGAUGGGUCUGCAGGUGAGCACCUGGUCAGGGGGCCACCCAGCGCUCUGGACGGAGUUCCCGAGGUGUCUGAGCUGGAACCCCACCCAGGCAGCUGGCACCUCCCUAGAGCUCUCCCCGCUUACCAGCAGCAGGUGACCAUGGAGGAACUUCUCCUUUCACUACCUUAGUGUCCCCGUACCAGGGCCACUCCCUGAGCUGGGAGACUCCUGCUCUCUCCCUGCCCACGCCUCCCUCCCUAUCCCUCAUCCCUCAUCCCUCAGAGGAGGUUCCUGCCACUUUAGCUGAGUCCUCCACUAGGGGGCCCUGUGCUGCCAUAAAAUCACACUCCUCCCACGGACUUUCCACGGCUGGUCCUCUCCACGGUGGCAGAAAGUGCUGGAAAGAUCCCCAACAGGAGGACACCCACAGCACAGGAGUUCCUGAGUGGCACCAGUUUUUAAGAAGGAAAAGUUGGGGGUAGAUUGACAGGCUUUGCUGGCAUAGUGGCUUUAGCUGUUGACUGGUGUCCUAAGUCCUUGUCAUCCGGCUCUCUUAGGCAUCUUUAGAAGUUUCCGAGUGUGCUGGCUACUGCAACCUUCUCCGUACAGUGGAGACGUGAACUCCCUGCAGCAGGGAGAGAAAACCCUCGUCAUGUGCCCAUGUUUUUGGCGAUCCCUGUCCUGGGCACCGCAGUGUCCUGCUUUUCACUGAGAAAUCAAAACCUCACAGAGGCCGAGGGGACCAAGAGAACAGAGGUGUGCAGGUCCUGAAGACGCCAUGACUCGGCUGUGGGCGAAGAGCUCAUUCCCUUCCACCUGAAGAAGUGGGUCUAAUUUCUGCACUGCCCAGGGGACCCCGCCGAGCAGAGAGGGCCAGCCCCGUGGAGCUCCAGGCUCACCUGCCGCUGCCGGACUGCUCCCACCCGUCAGGUUCUAGAAGGAAGCAGAGCAUUUCUCCUACAACCUCGGCACCAUUUUCUUUAUAAGGUUUCUGAGGAGCUAUUCUGCCUAAGAGAAGGCCGGCCACGAACUCCAGAAUCUUGAGGCACUGAGCAAGGAGCCUGGAAGGUCGGGUCACAAGCCUCCCAUCGGUAAGGUCCGAAAGAUGUUUAUCAAAUCUGCAGACGACAGAUGCACAAGAUGAAGCUACCAUGACAAAUGACAUCCCUCUGCGGGCUGGCACGCUCGGCUGAGACGGCCAGACGAAGUUCAAGUGUCAGAACCUGCGUUCGGUUCCAGGAGUCGGCGGCACAAGGACUGGGGAGGGAAAGGGGAUCUGAGGCUAUUGGUGGGCAAAAGCUGUGGGAGGCGUUUGAAUAGACACACGCUCCGGGCCCAGGGCAGAUCUGGCCACUGUGAGAACCGCCACCUCCGAGAGGACACUCAGGGAAGAUCAAGCUGAGCAGACAAGGGCUGGCCCCCCACUGUCUUGAGGAGGCAGUUGGCUUCAGAGGGACACGAUUUAGGAUAGAAACACUCAAACGCACUUGUAUGUGGCUACUCAAGACCAUCCUGAAACCUACGUCUGAGAAGGGAAGACCCUCCUGCAGGCCUGGAUCAGACAGCAGUGCUCUGGUCUGGCUGAGAAUCAGCCCUGCAGGCUCAGAGGCUUCCUGCCCCAGGGUGGGCCUGAUCCCACGGAGUGGGCAGAAUCUGCAUGUCUGCCCCUAUAGAAGACUUCUGGUCGUUCUGAUGACUUGCCAGGACUUGGGGCCCCAAGGAAUAGCCUGAAUUCCUUAGCCUGGUUCCAAGAGAAGCAUGGAUUUGCCAUGACACCGUUCCUCCUAUUGAAUUUCCACCACCCACUGUUAGUGGCUUGAAUUAUGACCACUCCCCCUCCCCCGCAAAGAUAUGUACAACUCCUCACCCCCAGGACCUGCAACUUGAGAAGAGGGUUUUGUAAAUGAGGCGAGAUGAAGUCAUGCUCCAUUAGGGACCCCAAUCCAAUACUUGCAACAUGACCAGUGUGUCCUUGUAAGAAGAGAGAACAGCCCUGGAGGAGAAGACGACAUGAAGCUCAGACACAGGGGAGAGGGCCCUGUGCAGUUGGGGGCAGAGACUGAAGCACCGCCCAAGCCAAGGAUGCCUGCAGCCACCAUAAGCUGGACAAGGCAGUGACAGUCCUCCCUGGAACUCGAGGCAGAGGGAGCAAGGCCCUGCUGGUAACUUGAACUUGGACAUCUGGCCUCUGAAACUGUGAGGAUGCAGAUUUCUGUGGGGUUAAGCCAGCCGGCCUGUGGUGUUUUGCUUCAGCAGAUGCAGGAACCAAAUUCACCCCUUUUCAUGUUCUCACUCUGUGAAACUGAACUUGUCCUUGUCCUCUCCUGUGUCCUGCAAGCUGUCCCUCCUGGCCUGGCUCACACAGCCCUCUUAGCCUUCCCAGUCUCCAGGUGUUGGAGUCUUGUCAGUCCUUCACACUGAGGCUCCACCUCCUUCUCCCAUGGGAGGACAAAUCAUUCCCUCCAGGGCUGGGAGGAUUCUGCCUGUGGGAAUCCUAGCGCACUUAGGGUUUCCCGUUCUGGUUUCCAUCCACUUCUAUAGAGGUGGAACUUACCGGUUGUCCCCCAGAGCUGUUCUGACGCAUGGCCAGGCUGUUUCCAGGCACAGUAUGCUAAUCAGGAGACUUGAAGCCCCAAGUGCUUAGAUGCAAUCUGUCUGAGCACCGACCUGGUGUCCCCAAGAGGAGAAAUCCACCCCUGACUCCAGGUGAUAAGUCCCCAUCAAAAUGCAGGUGCACAACACAGAGUUUACUCAGCAUCUCCAAGGGAAAACCAGCUGCUCCCAGCCCCUUGAGCUGUAAUACAUGACCUUCGCUUCAAGCACAAAAUCAUUUAAAAUAUUUAUAAAAUUUAUUUCAGUCUGUGUGUAGAAUGUGUACAUGAAACAAAUGAAUUUCACUUUUAGAUUUGGGUCCCAGCCAUAAGAUAUCUCAUUAUGUAUGUGAAAAUAUUCUGAGUUCCCCAAACAUCCCCAAUCCACAGCACUUUUGUCCCAAACAUUCCAGACAAGGGAUGUCCAACAUGUGUAGGAUGCAUCUUGUCGUCCUACUGAGCUGUGAGACUUUGAGGACAGACUCCAGGACCAUGGUUUUAGUGACUGGAUCCCGCACGAUGCUCUAUACAAAAUGCACAGUCAAUAAAUACUUUUAAAUGCCUGAAAAAGCAUGGGCGAGCUUAUAGAGAACGCGACUAAAGGAGAGGUAAUGUCUGUCUGGAAGUAUUCACCAUCUGUUGGGCAACAAUGUGGGCGAUUUUUGUGGUUCCAGGACCAAAAGGAACACAAAAAUGCACAGUGGACUUUCUGGGUAUCUGAGAACCAGGCAAAUCUCGUAGAAAGAGGAGGAGCGAGCCUUCCGUGUUGGAGGGGUUUAGACACAAAUGGUUGACGUUUGGCCGGGGCUCCUGGUGGUCCCACAGACUGGGGCUUGGGGGAGAGUCCCGGGUGAUGACAAACUGGGACACGCUCACGUGUGGGUUGCAUCUGAAGAUUCGGAAUUGGAUGGAGCCUAGGAAGAGAGAUCACAGUGGACAAAAGAGGGGAAAAAAUGACCCGAGGCUGAGUCGGGAGGGGCCUUCCAGGGCAGGGUGGGGAGAUGAGGUCCAGCUAGGGAGAAUGAAACCCGCAACUGGUGACCCCGCAGGGCAGGACCCAGGGGAGCAGCGGUGGCUGUGAAGUGCGGCUGAUUGACACAGUGACCCUGACCAGGCGGGGUGGACAGUGGGUGCAGGACCACCCGGCGGGGCCAAGGCCCUGAUCCCUGAUCCCUGCCCCGCCUGCCUUCCUUCUUCUGUUUGUGGCUCCCGGAGCGUCUUCACUCGGUCACCAGGCUUUUCCCACCUUCUGCUCGCCCCUUUGCUCUGAGGGAAGAGCAGGGGCCUCUGCUGGAAAGGGGCUCGGCCGUCGUGCAGUUCCAGCACGGGUUGCCGUGGGUGAGCCUGCUGUGGGGUGACCCGGGGAAGAAGGCCGUGUCUCAGUGGCCCCUGGGUGCUCCAGCUCAGCGGCUGCCUCCCUCCCUUCUAGAUGCUCGGGCUAAAACCUCCACGUCCUCCGCCACCGCCCUCUCACCCCACGUCCACCCACCAGUAGAUCCUACGGGCUCUGCCAUCAAGAGGCCUCCAGUGCGGCCCUCUGCCUACCACACCAUGAGUCCCUGUCCCCCGGGGCCACCCUCACCCACCUCCCACAUGUCCACAAAUUUCCCUCUGGCCUCACCUCCCGCCUUGCCCCACAGGGGUCGGUCUCACCACCGCUCCAGGGCCUCCUCUUCCCAUCUCCACCAGGGCCUCCCCUGCAGGACCCCAGGCACCUCACCGCCACCCCAUGCCAGCUGCAGAAGACUCUUCCUCCAGAGCCGCACACAGCUCCCCUCCCUUCUCUGCGUCUCUCCUCAAUGUCAAAAGGCCACUCAGGACCACCACACCUGCCUGGACACGGCAGGCCACCUCCCUUCCGGGCACCCUGGCCCGCCCCUGCAUCACUGCCCUGAACAUCUGUGCAUUCUCUUGUCAGUGUCCCUGAGGUGUCCCUCUGCCCUACUGCAAUGUGACUCAGACACAGAGCCUGGCUAACCAGUGCACCUGCGUGUCUACCCCCAGCUGCAGAGGAAAGCCUGCUACGGACCUCCAGUGUCGAGGUCAAGUGCAAGCACAUGAGAUGAUCUGGGACGAGCCCUCAACCAGCAGUUGUCGGAAUCUAGGCAUUUUAUUGUGGAAAAAUACUUCUGUUAGCAACUCAAAAUAAAAAUGCUGAGACGUGUGUUCUUCCCCA